rnacentral:rRNA from 1 species
UACAGAGGUCCCAAGCGUUGUUCGGAUUCACUGGGCGUAAAGGGUGCGUAGGCGGUCGGGUAAGUCUGAUGUGAAAGCUCGGAGCUCAACUCCGAAAUGGCAUCGGAUACUAUUCGGCUAGAGGAAUGGAGGGGAGACUGGAAUACUUGGUGUAGCAGUGAAAUGCGUAGAUAUCGGGAGGAACACCUGAGGCGAAGGCGGGCUACUGGGCCGAUACUGACGCUGAUGUGCGAAAGCCAGGGGAGCGAACGGG